CCUGUCCCUGACGUCUGCAAAGCUCACAGGCUGAGGUUCAACUAUGCUACCUGGAAGCACAAAGAGAUGCUGUUGAGCAGAUGUCCCUCAAGCUGUACAGCGAGCAGUAUACCAGCAGCAGCAAGCGAAAGGAAGAGUUUGCUGAUAUGUCAAAAGUUCAUUCAGUGGGAAGCAAUGGGCUUCUGGACUUUGAUUCAGAAUAUCAGGAGCUCUGGGAUUGGCUGAUUGACAUGGAGUCCCUUGUGAUGGACAGCCACGACCUGAUGAUGUCAGAGGAGCAGCAGCAGCAUCUUUACAAGCGAUACAGUGUGGAAAUGUCCAUCAGACACCUGAAAAAGACGGAGCUGCUUAGUAAGGUUGAAGCUUUGAAGAAAGGUGGCGUUUUACUACCAAAUGAUCUCCUUGAAAAAGUGGAUUCAAUUAAUGAAAAAUGGGAACUGCUUGGGGUAUUUGCAUUUUUAUUACUGUUUGUAGGUUAUGUGUACAUUUUUUGCGUAGUGAAGUACUCUAUCUGUCUGAUUUCUAAUUUGAGGUGCAAAUAUCUCUCUCUUUCAAUUCACUACCUACAUUUCAAACAAGCUAUUCAUGCUAUUAUGGGAAAGACACUCCUUUUCC
rnacentral:sRNA from 1 species